GAAAGAGUGGCGGUGGCUAUCGGGAGGAGAUCUACACGGCCAAAGCAGAUGGAGCUCCGGCGAUAGCAGUUCAAGCUUGGAUGAUGCUCUCGGGCUUCCCCUGGUCUUCAAUCUGUAGCAGAAAAGCUGAACCGACAACAUAUCUGAGCUUUGGUGAUGGGUUCUUCUUCUCUUCUUCCUCCUCGGGGUUCUACUGUUUACAUAUGAGGACGACAUGCAUGUACAGAGUUCUUUGAAAGCAACUCAUCUCCAGAUGGCAAAUGAGGGUCAAAAUCAAGGAGCAGACCAACCUAUGAAUGUCUUAGGUGUUCUUAAUCACUCUAAAGUGAAUGGAUCAUUGUGGUAAACGUUUUAGUUUAUAUAUGAACGUCACGUUAAAGUUUUAGUUGCGUUAUAUUUUUAUUUUUGUUUGUAGGUUCAAACGUGAUGCUCUAAUCACUAAUGAGAUAACAACAAUCAUCCGAUCUGGUUUUCCUGGCCCGUAUCAGAAUUGGUCAACCACGCCGCUACAUGUAAAAAAACGAUGGUAGUACACGUUUAAGAGCAAAUUCUCUUGGAAUCAUUCUCAGAGCAAGUUUCCAUGGUAAAAUGCCAGUCACCACUGAAAGCCACUUAGAAAAUGAUGAGUUCAAGAAAAAGGUAGAAAACAUUUCUCAAGAAAAUGAAGAUAUCAAGAAAGAUUGAGCAAACUUGAAGGUUUGGAGAAAAUGAUUGUGAUCCUUUGUCCCGCUAUUAUCUCCAUGGGUGGCAACAACCAAGUUUAAAUUGGCUCUUUUGUUAUUUUUCUAAGAUUUUAUUAGUUUUUCUAGUUUUA